CCUACGGGAGGCAGCAGUGGGGAAUCUUGCGCAAUGGGCGAAAGCCUGACGCAGCAACGCCGCGUGCGGGAUGAAGGCCUUCGGGCUGUAAACCGCUUUCAGCAGGAACGAAAAUGACGGUACCUGCAGAAGAAGGAGCGGCCAACUACGUGCCAGCAGCCGCGGUGACACGUAGGCUCCAAGCGUUGUCCGGAUUUAUUGGGCGUAAAGAGCUCGUAGGCGGUUGAGUAAGUCGGGUGUGAAAACUCUGGGCUUAACCCGGAGACGCCAUCCGAUACUGCUCUGACUUGAGUUCAGGAGGGGAGUGGGGAAUUCCUAGUGUAGCGGUGAAAUGCGCAGAUAUUAGGAGGAACACCGGUGGCGAAGGCGCCACUCUGGACUGAAACUGACGCUGAGGAGCGAAAGCAUGGGUAGCAAACAGGAUUAGAUACCCUGGUAGUCCAUGCCGUAAACGGUGGGCACUAGGUGUGGGUUCCAACUAACGGGAUCCGCGCCGUCGCUAACGCAUUAAGUGCCCCGCCUGGGGAGUACGGUCGCAAGACUAAAACUCAAAGGAAUUGACGG
rnacentral:rRNA from 2 species